AUUGAACGCUGGCGGCAUGCUUUACACAUGCAAGUCGAACGGCAGCGCGGGCUUCGGCCUGGCGGCGAGUGGCGAACGGGUGAGUAAUACAUCGGAACGUGCCCAGGAGGGGGGGAUAGCUCGGCGAAAGCCGGAUUAAUAUCGCAUACGACCUGAGGGUGAAAGCGGGGGUUCUUCGGACCACGCGCUAUUGGAGCGGCCGAUGGCAGAUUAGCUAGUUGGUGGGGUAAAGGCCUACCAAGGCGACGAUCUGUAGCUGGACUGAGAGGACGACCAGCCACACUGGGACUGAGACACGGCCCAGACUCCUACGGGAGGCAGCAGUGGGGAAUUUUGGACAAUGGGCGAAAGCCUGAUCCAGCAAUGCCGCGUGUGUGAUGAAGGCCUUCGGGUUGUAAAGCACUUUUGGCGGGAACGAAAAGGACUGUGCCAAUACCACGGUUCGAUGACGGUACCCGCAGAAUAAGCACCGGCUAACUACGUG
rnacentral:rRNA from 1 species